rnacentral:tRNA from 1 species
GUCGCGAUGCCAGAGUGGUUAUUGGGUAUGACUAGAAUCGGCUUAGUACGAGAUCAUAUGGCUUCGGCCGCAGAGGUUCGAAUCCUCUUCGCGACG